rnacentral:lncRNA from 1 species
CUGCCCCAAGGGGGACCAGGAGGCAUUUUUGGAAUUCUGGGAGGCGUGAUUGCAGCUGCUCUUAUUAUUGGUGUAGCUGUGACAGUCUUCAUCAUCUACAGGCGACAGCAGAAAAGUCGCUCAGACACCGACAAUGACCUGAUUGAUCUUCCACCUUCUCACAAGCCUGCUCCCCCACCUCCUAAGAGGAAACAAGAGAUGAAAAGUCACUUGACAGCAGAGGAUAUCCAGGUUGUACAUUUGGACAAUGUGAAGGAGCCAGAGGAAGAGAUCCAGAAGUUGCCACCACAACCCCCUUACUAUGACAUGGCUGCCACNGAGACAACACCCCACUCAGACAAG